CUGGGUGUGGCGCAGUUGGUAGCGCGCAGCGUUCGGGACGCUGAGGUCGCCUGUUCAAGUCAGGUCACCCAGACCA
rnacentral:tRNA from 1 species